rnacentral:rRNA from 1 species
AUUGAACGCUGGCGGCAGGCCUAACACAUGCAAGUCGAGCGAGCGGCGGACGGGUGAGUAAUGCCUAGGAACUGCCUGGUAGUGGGGGAUAACUACUGGAAACGGUCGCUAAUACCGCAUACUAUCGGAUAACCCAUAUGGGAUUAGCUAGUAGGUGGGGUAAUGGCUCACCUAGGCGACGAUCCCUAACUGGUCUGAGAGGAUGAUCAGCCACACUGGGACUGAGACACGGUCCAGACUCCUACGGAGGCAGCAGUGGGGAAUAUUGGACAAUGGGCGCAAGCCUGAUGCAGCCAUGCCGCGUGUAUGAAGAAGGCCCUAGGAUUGUAAAGUACUUUCAGUCGGGAGGCGUUACCGACAGAAGAAGCACCGGCUAACUCCGUGCCAGCAGCCGCGGUAAUAC